rnacentral:rRNA from 1 species
UGGGGAAUAUUGGACAAUGGGCGAAAGCCUGAUCCAGCCAUGCCGCGUGUGUGAAGAAGGUCUUCGGAUUGUAAAGCACUUUAAGUUGGGAGGAAGGGCAGUAAGCGAAUACCUUGCUGUUUUGACGUUACCGACAGAAUAAGCACCGGCUAACUCUGUGCCAGCAGCCGCGGUAAUACAGAGGGUGCAAGCGUUAAUCGGAAUUACUGGGCGUAAAGCGCGCGUAGGUGGUUCGUUAAGUUGAAUGUGAAAGCCCCGGGCUCAACCUGGGAACUGCAUCAAAAACUGGCGAGCUAGAGUAGGGCAGAGGGUGGUGGAAUUUCCUGUGUAGCGGUGAAAUGCGUAGAUAUAGGAAGGAACACCAGUGGCGAAAGCGACCACCUGGGCUCAUACUGACACUGAGGUGCGAAAGCGUGGGGAGCAAACAGG